rnacentral:rRNA from 1 species
UACGUAGGGUGCAAGCGUUGUCCGGAAUUAUUGGGCGUAAAGAGCGUGUAGGCGGCCCGAUUAGUCCGCUGUGAAAGUCCAGGGCUCAACCCUGGAAUGCCGGUGGAUACUGUCGGGCUAGAGUCCGGAAGGGGCGAGUGGAAUUCCUGGUGUAGCGGUGAAAUGCGCAGAUAUCGGGAAGAACACCCGUGGCGAAAGCGGCUCACUGGACCACAACUGACGCUGAGGCGCGAAAGCUAGGGGAGCAAACAGG